rnacentral:rRNA from 1 species
AGCGGCGGACGGGUGAGUAAUGCUUAGGAAUCUGCCAUUUAGUGGGGGACAACAUUCCGAAAGGAAUGCUAAUACCGCAUACGUCCUACGGGAGAAAGCAGGGGAUCUUCGGACCUUGCGCUAAAUGAUGAGCCUAAGUCGGAUUAGCUAGUUGGUGGGGUAAAGGCCUACCAAGGCGACGAUCUGUAGCGGGUCUGAGAGGAUGAUCCGCCACACUGGGACUGAGACACGGCCCAGACUCCUACGGGAGGCAGCAGUGGGGAAUAUUGGACAAUGGGCGGAAGCCUGAUCCAGCCAUGCCGCGUGUGUGAAGAAGGCCUUUUGGUUGUAAAGCACUUUAAGCGAGGAGGAGGCUACCUAGAUUAAUACUCUGGGAUAGUGGACGUUACUCGCAGAAUAAGCACCGGCUAACUCUGUGCCAGCAGCCGCGGUAAUACAGAGGGUGCGAGCGUUAAUCGGAUUUACUGGGCGUAAAGCGUGCGUAGGCGGCUUUUUAAGUCGGAUGUGAAAUCCCCGAGCUUAACUUGGGAAUUGCAUUCGAUACUGGGAAGCUAGAGUAUGGGAGAGGAUGGUAGAAUUCCAGGUGUAGCGGUGAAAUGCGUAGAGAUCUGGAGGAAUACCGAUGGCGAAGGCAGCCAUCUGGCCUAAUACUGACGCUGAGGUACGAAAGCAUGGGAAGCAAACAGGAUUAGAUACCCUGGUAGUCCAUGCCGUAAACGAUGUCUACUAGC